rnacentral:rRNA from 1 species
UACGUAGGGAGCAAGCGUUGUCCGGAAUCAUUGGGCGUAAAGCGCGCGUAGGCGGCCUCGUAAGUCCGCUGUAAAAGUCACAGGCUCAACCUGUGAACGCCGGUGGAUACUGCGAGGCUAGAGUCCGGAAGAGGCGAGUGGAACUCCUGGUGUAGCGGUGGAAUGCGCAGAUAUCAGGAAGAACACCAACGGCGAAGGCAGCUCGCUGGGACGGUACUGACGCUGAGGCGCGAAAGCGUGGGGAGCGAACAGG